rnacentral:rRNA from 1 species
GAUGAACGCUGGCGGCGUGCCUAAUACAUGCAAGUCGAGCGAACGGACGAGAAGCUUGCUUCUCUGAUGUUAGCGGCGGACGGGUGAGUAACACGUGGAUAACCUACCUAUAAGACUGGGAUAACUUCGGGAAACCGGAGCUAAUACCGGAUAAUAUUUUGAACCGCAUGGUUCAAAAGUGAAAGACGGUCUUGCUGUCACUUAUAGAUGGAUCCGCGCUGCAUUAGCUAGUUGGUAAGGUAACGGCUUACCAAGGCAACGAUGCAUAGCCGACCUGAGAGGGUGAUCGGCCACACUGGAACUGAGACACGGUCCAGACUCCGACGGGAGGCAGCAGUAGGGAACCUUCCGCAAUGGGCGAAAGCCUGACGGAGCAACGCCGCGUGAGUGAUGAAGGUCUUCGGAUCGUAAAACUCUGUUAUUAGGGAAGAACAUAUGUGUAGGUAACUGUGCACAUCUUGACGGUACCUAAUCAGAAAGCCACGGCUAACUACGUG